rnacentral:rRNA from 1 species
UACGUAGGGAGCAAGCGUUGUCCGGAAUCAUUGGGCGUAAAGCGCGCGUAGGUGGCCUCAUAAGUCCGCUGUGAAAGUCCAAGGCUCAACCUUGGAAAGCCGGUGGAUACUGUGAGGCUAGAGUACGGAAGAGGCGAGUGGAAUUCCUGGUGUAGCGGUGGAAUGCGCAGAUAUCAGGAGGAACACCAAUAGCGAAGGCAGCUCGCCGGGACGUUACUGACACUGAGGCGCGAAAGCGUGGGGAGCGAACAGG